AUUGAACGCUGGCAGCAUGCCUUACACAUGCAAGUCGAACGGCAGCACGGGUGCUUGCACCUGGUGGCGAGUGGCGAACGGGUGAGUAAUACAUCGGAACAUGUCCUGUAGUGGGGGAUAGCCCGGCGAAAGCCGGAUUAAUACCGCAUACGAUCUACGGAUGAAAGCGGGGGACCUUCGGGCCUCGCGCUAUAGGGUUGGCCGAUGGCUGAUUAGCUAGUUGGUGGGGUAAAGGCCUACCAAGGCGACGAUCAGUAGCUGGUCUGAGAGGACGACCAGCCACACUGGGACUGAGACACGGCCCAGACUCCUACGGGAGGCAGCAGUGGGGAAUUUUGGACAAUGGGCGAAAGCCUGAUCCAGCAAUGCCGCGUGUGUGAAGAAGGCCUUCGGGUUGUAAAGCACUUUUGUCCGGAAAGAAAUCCUUGGCCCUAAUACGGUCGGGGGAUGACGGUACCGGAAGAAUAAGCACCGGCUAACUACGUG
rnacentral:rRNA from 1 species